rnacentral:rRNA from 1 species
UAAUAUAUAGGGUAACGUGCCCUAGAGAAGAGGAUAACAUUUUGUGAAACGAAUGCUAAUACUCUAUAUGCCUUUAAGACUUAAGUCUGCAAGGGAAAUAUUUAUAGCUCUAGGAUCGGCCUGUUCGGUAUCAGCUUGUUGGUGAGGUAAUGGCUCACCAAGGCAAUGACACCUAACUGGUUUGAGAGGAUGAUCAUUCACACUGGAACUGAGACACGGUCCAGACUCCUACGGGAGGCAGCAGUGGGGAAUAUUGCACAAUGGACGAAAGUCUGAUGCAGCAACGCCGCGUGGAGGAUGACACAUUUCGGUGCGUAUACUCCUUUUAUAUAGGAAGAUAUUGACGGUACUAUAUGAAUAAGCGCCGGCUAACUCCGUGCCAGCAGCCGCGGUAAUACGGAGGGCGC